GAUGAACGCUGGCGGCGUGCUUAACACAUGCAAGUCGAACGGAAAGGCCAUGCUUUUGUUGGGUGCUCGAGUGGCGAACGGGUGAGUAACACGUGUGUAACCCGCCCUUUUCUUUGGGAUAACUUUAGGUAACUGGGGCUAUUAGCGGAUAGGAUCUCCUGCUGCGUGUUGGGGGUUGGUAAGUUUCGGCGGUUGGGGAUGGACUCGCGGCUUAUCAGCUUGUUGGUGGGGUAGUUGCUUACCACGGCUUUGACGGGUAGCCUGCCUGAGAGGUUGACCGGCCACAAUGGGACUGAGAGACGGACCAGACUCCUACCGGAGGCAGCAGUGGAGAAUAUUGCGGAAUGGGCGGAAGCCUGAUGCAACAACGCCGCGGGCGGGAUGACGACCUUCGGGUUGUAAACCGCUUUCGCCUGUAACGAAGCGGGAGUGACGGUAAUGGGUAAAGAAGCACCGGCUAACUACGUG
rnacentral:rRNA from 1 species